CGGGACGGACAGCCGCGGGUUCGGGUCCAACGACCCGUUCAUGAGGAAAGUCCGGGCUCCACAGGGCAAGAAUAACGGGUAACGCCCGCCGAAGGCGACUUCAGGAAAAGUGCAACAGAGAUAUACCGCCCCGUUUGCGGGGUAAGGGUGGAAAGGCGAGGUAAGAGCUCACCCGCCGCAUGGGAACAUUGCGGCGCUGUAAACUCUAUUCGGAGCAACACCGUGGAGGGAACAAUGGUUUGCCCGACCGUUCCCGAGGAGGUGGCUUGAACGCAGCGGUAACGCUGCGUCCAGAUAGAUGGCUGUCGAUUACAGAACCCGGCUUACAGUCCCGAUC
rnacentral:RNase_P_RNA from 1 species